AACGCGAAGAACCUUACCUGGUCUUGACAUCCUAGGAAUCCCGAAGAGAUUUGGGAGUGCCGCAAGGAGCCUAGAGACAGGUGCUGCAUGGCUGUCGUCAGCUCGUGUCGUGAGAUGUUGGGUUAAGUCCCGCAACGAGCGCAACCCUUGUCCUUAGUUGCCAGCAUUAAGUUGGGCACUCUAAGGAGACCGCCGGUGACAAACCGGAGGAAGGUGGGGAUGACGUCACGUCAUCAUGGCUUCUAUGCCCCAGGGCUACACCACGUCGCUACAAUGGUAGAUACAGACGGAAGCCAACCCGCCGAGCGGGACCCAAUCCCAGAACAUACAUCGCAGUCCGGCUUCGAGUAUGCAACUCCAGUCCCUGAACUCCGAACGGCUCGCCCAAAGCACUCGCAAUGCCGCGGGAACAAGUCCCGGUAUUUCUCACU
rnacentral:rRNA from 1 species